rnacentral:rRNA from 1 species
AGAGUUUGAUCCUGGCUCAGGAUGAACGCUAGCUACAGGCUUAACACAUGCAAGUCGAGGGGUAGCAGGGUAGCAAUACCGCUGACGACCGGCGCACGGGUGAGUAACACGUAUCCAACCUUCCCAUAACUCAGGGAUAGCCUUUCGAAAGAAAGAUUAAUACCUGGUGGUACCUUUUUCUGGGCAUCCAGUUAAGGUUAAAGAUUUAUCGGUUAUGGAUGGGGAUGCGUUCCAUUAGAUUGUUGGUGAGGUAACGGCUCACCAAGUCUUCGAUGGAUAGGGGUUCUGAGAGGAAGGUCCCCCACAUUGGUACUGAGACACGGACCAAACUCCUACGGGAGGCAGCAGUGAGGAAUAUUGGCCAAUGGGCGAGAGCCUGAACCAGCCAAGUAGCGUGAAGGAAUGAAGGUCCUAUGGAUUGUAAACUUCUUUUAUAACAGAAUAAAGUGAGCCACGUGUGGUUUUUUGUAUGUAUGUUAUGAAUAAGGAUCGGCUAACUCCGUGCCAGCCGCAGC